rnacentral:rRNA from 1 species
CGCCCUUAGAGUUUGAUCAUGGCUCAGAUUGAACGCUGGCGGCAGGCUUAACACAUGCAAGUCGAACGGUAUAGGUGCUUGCACCUGACGAGUGGCGGACGGGUGAGUAAUGUAUGGGGAUCUGCCGAAUGGAUUGGGACAACCACUGGAAACGGUGGCUAAUACCGAAUAAUGUUGAGAGACCAAAGUGUUUCGACAUGCCAUUUGAUGAACCCAUAUGGGAUUAGCUAGUAGGCGGGGUAAUGGCCCACCUAGGCGACGAUCUCUGGCUGGUCUGAGAGGAUGACCAGCCACACUGGGACUGAGACCCGGCCCAGACUCCUACGGG